AAGUACAGUUGUGUGGCAAUUAAAUGAUGACCCUAAAGUUUCAUAAAAGUAAAGAACACUGAACAAAAAAGUGUGGGAAAUACAGAUGUAUCUGAGAAAAUGGCUUGGAAUGAAGGAAGA